GAGACCCGUUUGCGUUUUCGCUCGCUUCGGCUUCGCGCCAGUCAUUUUUUUUUUCAUUUCGUUCAUCUAUCCCGUGAUCCCGUCCCCUCCCUCCUCGAGAUAGAGAGAGAUCCAUGGCGACUUGGAGCUCCCUGUCCGCUCAAUUCAGUAGGAUGAUGGUCAGGCGUCCGGCGCUCUCCCUUCGGCUGCCCCGCCCCCUCCUGCUUCUUCCUCUUUUCCCCCGCCGGAGGUCUGCAACAUCUCUCGUCUCCCGCCGCAUCGCCGGCCCCAUUUUUCUUCGCCCGGCGUUUCUGUUCGUCGAAUUCGGUUGCAAGUCUGUUGCUCUUGACUCUACGAACAAAACCAACAAAUGAGUCAUCGCCAUGAUCUUCUUGAAGCUUGUGUCUCAGAACAUGGAGGAAACGCCACCACUUUGUUGUUUUUCUGUCCGGGUUAGAGAAGGAGGAGGAUGGACCCGUUAAGUUUCUCUUUGAUCUGUACGGUUUGUUUAAAUGAAUGGGACAGAAAAAGGACAUACAAUGGACAAGGGACAGAGGACAAUUGUCACAUUCUAUUGGCUGAAAUAUCCGGCUGAAACUCAAUUGAUUUUCAGCCGGAUGUUAAUUAGACAGUCCCUAUAUCUUACAAAGAAUCCAAUGUAUCACGAGAGAACAAAACACAUUGAUGU